rnacentral:lncRNA from 1 species
AUUUGCAGGUUGUAAAAUAGAGCAGGCUGUUCUUGAGUGUAAGUUUACCUUCACAGGAAAUCCAUUGUUUGGAAAGCUAAUGGAGUCACCCCACCCCUGUGCGUACACAGAUGACGCUCUCCGACAAGGUCUUGUUCUCCAAUGGGCAUGGAUACCUAGAAAUUAUCUGAUAACAUGAGUGUACUGUCUUUCCAAUAUUAUGAACUGAUCACCUCUGUUCUGCUGAGGCACGGAAGCUGAUGCUGAUAGAGAAGCUGUCCUCUGCUUCGUUCACUCAGGAAAGAUAUCACUCUACAGCAGUAACUUCCACAUAACUGCAGGGAGUGUUUUGAUAAACCACAGAAGCAGAGCAAGCCAUGUGCACAAAGCCACAGCUGGACUAGUUAGGGGCUUGCUCAGAAAUUGYCUGGGACCUCUUUGGAAGGUGCUUGAAGAGAGCUCUGGGCCUCCAUCAAGUCCUGCUCACGCCCUGUAGACUCAGAGCAUUUCUUUCACUCUGUUAUCAUAAUAUCUUUGAGAAUCAUUACUGUCUUUUGUAGGGAUCAUUAUAUUAAAAUAAAUUAUAUUUAUAUAUAAUG